rnacentral:misc_RNA from 1 species
GAUGAAGAACGUAGCGAAAUGCGAUAAGUAGUGUGAAUUGCAGAAUUCAGUGAAUCAUCGAAUCUUUGAACGCACAUUGCGCCCCAUGGUAUUCCGUGGGGCAUGCCUGUUCGAGCGUCAUUUACCCCCUCAAGCUCCGCUUGGUGUUGGGCGUCUGUCCCGCUUCGCGCGCGGACUCGCCCCAAAGGUAUUGGCAGCGGUCGUGCCAGCUUCUCGCGCAGCACAUUGCGCUUCUCGAGGCACCGGUGGGCCGCGUCCAUCAAGCUCACCCCCCCAGUUUGACCUCGGAUCAGGUAGGGAUACCCGCUGAACUUAAGCAUAUCAAUAAGCGGAGGA